UAAUGGUGUAUACCUUAUCUCAAAGUAUGUGGUAUUUUUGGUAUGAGGCAUAAUGGAAUUGCCUUCUCUCUCACCCUACUCUAAUAAGGUUUUGAUAUCUGGAGCUCAUAAGUGGGAGACAACUAAUACAUACUUGCAAGACAUUUAUUGCAUAGUCAAACCAUGGAUCUAGAAGAAUAAGUCAAUAAGUCAAAUCAAGAUGUGCAUGUGUGGCGAAUGAUUGGUGAUAAUGGUGAAAAUAAUGGUGGAAGUCUAAUUCUACUUUUGCUCUUUUGAGGGGGUACAUACCUUCCUUGCACUUGAGGCUUUUGAGGGGAAUGAGAUGCUCUAUAUUUUCUUUUUCUUUUCUCUCAGGUGGGUAUCUUGUAUCGGACACUUGUCCAUUUUUACCUCUCGUCUCACUUUUUCUUUUCUUUCGAGGUUCCUGGCACUUGCCCCUUUUUAUUUCCUCGUAUCUUUUUUUAGAGCACUCACCUCUUUAAAUAAUGUAGCAAGUGGUAGUAACCAAAAUAACUUGAGCAUUUAUUUCACAGGGGAAAACAGAAAUAGGAGAAUGUUUUUGGCUAUUCUCUCCUAGAUUAGGAGUAGAAUAUUUUUGGGUAAAUCUGGAUAUGGAAAUGAGUGGAUGUAUGUGGAUGCGUACUUCCGGAGUAGAAGCAGCAUGUGUGAGUGAACGUGCAAGUGAAUCUUGAUUUAACCACAUGACAAGCUCCUAAGGGUCUACACAGCUUG
rnacentral:lncRNA from 1 species